AUGCAGCGUGGUUGUCCAACCAAUAACCUCCUUCAUAGCAUGGAGCUUAACAUUUUGAUUUUUGAUUUGGAUCCGCACGAUUUCUUCUUGUUCUAUUCUCCUCUUGUUUUGAUGUUCAUGGCUGUUGACUUUUUGGUUUUCUUGAAUCUUAGGUUUAAUUUGUUUUGAAAGGUAGUUCUGGAGCAUAUUAUCUUCCUGUUUUGUAUUCUGAUUUCUUUCUGGUGUCUUGAUUUUGAGGAGAAAAUUUUGACCAUGUGA